rnacentral:rRNA from 1 species
UACGUAGGGUGCGAGCGUUUGUCCGGAAUUAUUGGGCGUAAAGGGCUCGUAGGCGGUUUGUCGCGUCGGGAGUGAAAACCAGGUGCUUAACACCUGGCUUGCUUUCGAUACGGGCAGACUAGAGGUAUGCAGGGGGAGAACGGAAUUCCUGGUGUAGCGGUGGAAUGCGCAGAUAUCAGGAAGAACACCGGUGGCGAAGGCGGCUCUCUGGGCCUUACCUGACGCUGAGGAGCGAAAGCGUGGGUAGCGAACAGG